UAGUGUUCAUUCGUGUGCUCCGUGUGUAAGUGACCGUGUUCAGUUCACAUGACCAAUGCCGUCUUCUGUCGUACCACUGUGUGGUCGGGGCCAUUAAGUGUAUACCCACUUGUUUUGUUGCUUCGCAAAAUCUGUAAUGUACUAUAAGGAAUCGUUCCCUUUAAAGGUGUACGCACUGCAUCCGCCAGCUGAAUGCAAGAGCAGAGUCUUCCGCGCAGCACUGCGUUUGCGCAACAAUUUAAAGUGAUAAACCGCUUCAUCCAUUCAGAUCCCAGACAGCACAUGUACGUCUGGCCGACGUCGGCCCAAAAUCGAAACGUCGGCCUCUAUACCUAAAACAUCUAUAAAACAUCGGCCUGGCGGAGGCCGAUAUAAUUUGGUCAGUGCUCUGUUCUCCAGCUCAUCAAUCGUCGGCCCUGAAUUGGUUCACGACCGCGGGCCGAUGCCGCGCUUAUCUGUGUGCGCGUGCCCAGUAUUCGUCUCUUUUAGCCACCCAGAGAGAGAGAAGAGGAUAAUCCCAGCGACAUCUGUGGCUCUGAGGCUUCCAGAAAUAAUCCAGUGAAAUAAUAUGAUGUUUGUUUGUGUAAAUGCUGUGUGCGCGUUGAGUCCUGCGCGAGCUGGGAGCAGAGUUGCCAUGGAAACGGGGCGUCAACACAAAAACCGUUACUGGCAAGCAGUAAUCUCCGUCUCUCUCUGCAGUUUACACUGUUUUGGAAACGGUUUAGUUUCUUCGAAAAAGUCCGUUAGCAUCUUAGCAGUUUUCAGGAGGACAGAAAGAAACUCUACAGAACAGAAGUGAAGCUCCAAGAUUUCAAAAUUUCUGAAGGGAGAUUCCGACUUAGAAAUACAGGUGACCUGAAGAAGCUCAUGAAAAACAUGAAUAUGCCUUUUUCAGAAUACAUUUCACCAAUUUUAAGAAGUCCCUGACAUCAUAACUGAUGAUGAGCAGAGUCUGAGUGAAC